ACCAAGUGAAACAGUUCAAAAUCCGAGAGGUCAAGAGAAUAUUAGUACUGUCACGACGAAAAAGAAAAAGGCUGCUAAAAAGAAAAAAAAUUAUACCAUCGGGCGAGCCGACUGAAGAGGAAAUUACAAAGGAGACUAAACCAGUGAUUAAGUUGCCCUACCCUCAGAGAGUGACAAAGAAGGAACCAAGCGAUUCAGACUUGGAGAAAUUCAUGACAAUGUUUAAAAAG
rnacentral:lncRNA from 1 species